CUCUUCCCAUCUGUGAAUCUUUCUAAAAGCAGAGUAUGAAUGUCUUAACUCAAUAACUAAGAGAAUGAUAUGAAGGUUAUGCUAACCAGUUAGAUGGGAGUAUUUCAAAACGUAUAUGAAAACAG